UUUUUAGAUGUCCUCCUCUCUAAAUGAUUUAUAAAUCAUUGAUAAUUUUGUAACAAGAAGAUUCACAGCUGCGACAUGAAGAAGGAAGACUUGGAUUCAGAGAAAGAGAAAAAGGAGAUGUGACAAGGAGAGUAGAAGUUGGCAUGGUGGAAGAAGGAAGAAGGCACCACAAGCCAAGGAAUACAGCAACCUCUAGAAGCUGGAAAAAGCAAGAAAAUAGAUUCAUUCGUGGAGCAUCCAGAAGAACCAUUCUUGCAGAGACCCUUAUUUUAGCCCAUUGAAACUUAGUUGAACUUCUGUUCAGGCCACUGAAAUGAUGCCCCUUCCUUGAUAAGGCACAAUACCUACACCAGCA
rnacentral:lncRNA from 1 species